CAAAAUAAUUUUUGAAUUAAUUAGAUUUUAAUAAAUUUUAGUUGAAGCAAGCGACUUUAGUUAAAUCUACACAUAAAUACUUCAUAACACAAUACAUACUAAUAACUUUCAUUCAUAAUCUAUUAAAAUUACAAAAUAAAGUAUUGAGUAAUUUAGUAAUACAAAGGUAAAUAAAAUAUUUAGUGAUGAAUGUACCUACAACACAAGUUUGACCAUGCUAAACUAAUAGAACAUACAAGCAAAAUCAUAUCAUGGAAUCGCUCAUCUAUUUCAUUAAGCCACAACAAAAUUUUGGACUUCAUUUAACCUACAAGAUUAUGGAUGGAAAUAUGACAGGAAAUAUUGUCUUGAAUAUGUUUAAUCUUCAAAAUACAGACUGUAGCAUGAGGGAUUAGUUGUAGCUUGUACCAUCCACCUCAAAAAGAAAUUUCAUGGAAUAAGUAAACCAAAAUUCAGAAGAGACUACGUAUGACCAUAUGACCUCUUAAUGAAAAACAAGACUAGUGUUCAUGUUUUAAAUAUUAACGAACUUAAGAAAAUGGAAAAAAAGGUGUAAUCACUCAAAUCAAACUAUCAAAAGUUCAACCACAUCAACAAAUAGAAAUCAAGCCAAAAACCAAAUUUAAAAUUUGAUCUAAUCAAAUAUAACAAACAAGUAAUGGCUUAGCCCAAAAAAAUAUGGCAUCAGAUUAUACAUAGGAUACUCUUUGAAAAGCUUAUCAUAAUAUCGCUUCACCAAAUUUUGCAUUCACGAUGUAUCCAUGUCAUCUUCCUCUUAACAAAUGAACCUUGAAAAUAAUUCAUUGUAAAUAGUCUAUAAACUUUCUUAAUUUUCCAAAGAAAUUGAAUAUUAAUACAAACACACAUGUUAAACAAAAUCUUAUAAAACCCAUCAAAGAAGAAACUUAAUCAAUUCAUAGAGUAAGAUAUCCAAUUGACAUUAUUCACAGUAUUCCAUCAACAUUAUUCACAAUCUUCGAUUGUUCAAGGUAGCUUAAGAGGAGGCAAACCUUUUCAGAAGAAAAUUAUCAUGAACCAAAGAAAAUGAAGAGAAAAAUCACAACAUAUUAACUUAUUUCCUCUGGUUGAAUGAAAUGAAGAUUUUUUAGCACAAUAUACCUUGGCAUCACUCACAGCAAAAAGAUUUUCUCCAACCUCAUAAAUAUCCAUUGUUCAAAAGUUCACUGUUAAAAUCCAUACUGAACGCUUAUGUUAUCUGCAUUGCCAGACAAAUAAAACAAUUUUAGGGAAGGCAAAAUGAAAUUCUCCAACGAUAACAAAUACUUUGUGCAACAACACAUCUAUUGAAAUUAGAUAAGGAAAAGGGUAAAGUUAAAGGCAACCAACUUUACCUUGCUAAACUAGAGAGUUCAUUUUCUAAUGCAAACUUGAAAAGAAAAUAACUUGCUGAAAAUGUGGAAAGGCUUCACUGUUUGAACAAUGAUCUUGAAGAGAGUAAGAUUAUUAGAAGGUGUGAAAAAUUUUCUACAAUGGCAAACACCCCAAUGUUUUUUAAGCUUUGUUUCUUUAAUAAGAAAAAAGUAAAAUUAUCAUCAACAAGAAAUAGUAUCAUUGACUAUCUGUGGCAAGAUCCACUGCACGAUCGUAUAGCCAUUUACUCCUCCGGGGAUAGACUAAUGCAAUACAUACACUAAAAAACAUGGACCAUUGAACCGCGGUGGGAUGAACGUUUUAGAAGCACUUUGCAGGGAGGACAUUCUCAUAAAUGAUGAAGGGAAAAACAAAAUAUCACACAAUAUAUAAAAAAUGAUGAUGUCAACCUUCUCACAAGGAAGAUUACACUUUUCGCAUGGCUCGCUCAAGUCUCGAAGGGAUGGUGAUGGAUGUUGGCUCUUGAGUGCAUGGAAAAAUUUGGUACAAUAAUGAUUUGUACAGGGAAGAGGAUUUCUACAUAAAUUAUCGCAAGAACCGUGCAAGGUGUGAAAAGUUUAACAUGUAAACGGCAUGACUCACCUUUCCUAUGGUUUCAGAAUUGCCAAAACAAUCUGGAUAACCAUCCUGUUCACAUAAUUACAAAGCCACAGGACAAGAGAUUAAAAACACACACAAAAAGAAAAUUUUCCUACUUGAGAAAACAAUAAAAAAAAUCUUCGAAAAAUGGAGCAAAAGUUUAUUCUAGGCUCCUCUUGAAGACAAAAGCUAAGAUCCUCAUAUUAAAAGCAGAUAAGCAUUUAUGUUUGAAGAUGCAGUUAAAGAAGAUUAAGAGAAUGUCUUUGAAUCAAACAUGGGCUUAAACAAACACUUCUUAAAAAACUAAGGGUACUUCAAAUAAUGUGAAUGUGGCAUCAACCCUAAGAAAUGUAGAGAAAAUCAAAAUCAUUAACCAACCAUUCAAGUGAAAGUAAUAUACUUGAACUUGAAAAUAAACAUCAACCUGAACAAGAAUGUCCGUAACUGCGAUGUUUCUUAAGAUCGUCACCUGCCAUAACCAGUGCACAAGCCACCUGCAAUCAUGACAAAAACAGCACACCGUCAAUCAAAUCUAUCACAAACAAUAGUGAGUAUUUUAUUAGAAAAAUGAUCUUAAGAAUAAAACUUCACACUUUGUGUUUUAAAAAAAUGGAUAAUGCAAAGCCACCAAGAAGCUACUAAUUCUUCAACCACUUCACACACACUGCUUUCUUAAAGUGGAGCAAGGAAAAGCUACUCACUGGAAGGUAAAAUAAAUAAUAGGCAGUCUUGUACUGUACAAUGUGUCAAUGACUACAAAAGUUACAUUAUAUGUGCAUUAGAAAGCACUCUAAAAUAAUAUACGAAAGUGAAAACAACAGAAAAAAGUCGUAGGAUGUGAGAGAGAGAUGUGUAAUGAAAGACAGAGAAAGGUUGUGCAAAUGUCUCUAGUUGAAAAUCUCUAAAUUCAAUUUCAUCUAGCAAAUGGAGGAUUUGCCAAUGGAAAGAGAAGCCUUUGUUGUGAGGGAUUAAAACUGCGAGAAAUAAAUUAAGAAAAUAAAACCUCAAUAAAUUUUUUAAGAAUAAAACAUGAAAGGGAUUAAUGUAAUAAAUAGAAAUUGGAGAUUAGGGUAUGAAGAAAAAUAUGAAGAACAAAUGUGGAAGGAUUUUUUAGGCCAAAACAUCAAAAUAACCCAUUGUUUAAAGCCAAAACACUAGACGAAGAAUCCUAAGCAAAACCCAUGUGAACUACGGUGCUCAGAUGAAGCUACGAGAUCGCAAGUCUAAGAGGUUGAAGCCAGAAAAUAGAAAAUUCUUGGAAAAUAGGUUGAACAGCAGUCGCUCCUGAUUCGACCUCUACCGAUCGAUAGGGUAGGGAGCGUUGUCUGAAAGUUAUAGCUUGAAGUUUUCCAUCUACCUUCCUCGGGUCAAUUUGAAGAACAAAGCAACGGUGAGCAGAAAGACGAUGACAGAGAUGAGAAAUUGUCAUUUGAGAAGAGAAAUCAUCGUCGUCAUCGUUGAAUACGAAUAAGAACUCCUCGUCGUCGUCUUUUGAGAUGAGAAAUUGUUGACUGUAAUUAAUAAAGUGUUAUUAUAAUUUCAAUAAAUUUAUUAGUUUUGUCUUAAAAACCUAAAUCCAAUAAACUAACAUCCUAAUUUGGUUGAUGAGUCUUGAAUAGUAUGUAGAGACAUACAAGGAUCAAUGUUCAAGAUACAACUUAAAGGGUCUAUAGAAUAGGGAUAAAGUUGGGUACCUUAUCAUGAUAACACUAUAGAUACAAAUCAUUUUGUAUUCGAUACAAACACACUGAUCCAACACGAUUGUGUAGGUGACAUGCGAGUGAGGGUAUCCUAUGCAAUGAGUUUUCAUAAGACCGGACCACAAAAUAAUAACCACUAGAUGUAACUUCGUUAACUAGUUACAUUUCUUUUUCAUUUAGAUGACCUAGGUAACUUAGUCUUAAUCUUGAAUGUAUUAUGAACUCAUGUUUGCGAGAAAUUGUCCUUUGAUUUGUAUAGGUGAGAGUGGACAAAUUGCCAACUCAAUAUGCUUAUCAUUUUGGGGAUAAGACCGAAUCAGGAGCUGGAAACAUAAUCACACAAAAAGGAAUUCACUCCUUCUCGACUGUAGGGUAAGUAGAUAAGUGUUUCGUUAAAUGAUGUUUUCAGGACUUGAAUAAAGGACCCUACUCUCUCUAUGGCACGAGAGGGGCUUUUGUUUAUUGGUUGGACCAUAAACAGGUUGUUCAUUAUAGGAGCACUGGUAUUUAAGAACUAGAAGUAACCCGAGGGUAAAAGGGUAGUUUGAUCCAGUUGGUGUUACCAACACUUAUGGAGGACUAACUUACUAUUAUUGGUCUAUAUCCACAACUAUGAGUCUUUAGUGGAGUGUACGCACAACUAACGAAUAUUGAUUAAUGUGGUUAAUGAAUUUAGCCAAUUAAUCUCGUAUCAUCAUAAAUGCUGAUCUAUAGGUCCAUUAGGUCCUCUUCAUAGCUCGUAAAAGGUAAUAAGAUUUAUUUGUAUUGGUUGUAAUUUGAAAUGUUCAAAUUUAAUUUGGGAAUUAAUAUAAUGUAUGGUGAUACAUUAUAAUAUAAAGUUUAUAUUUUAGUUAAACUUUAUUAUAUAAAUUUAAUUUUGGAUAUGAUUCAAAAUUAUCUUAAGAGAGAUAAAAUAUUUGAAUGAGUUUAAAUAUUAAUGUGAAUUAGAUUCAUAUUAAAACUAUAGGUCAAAUUUUAAUGUGUACACGACACAUAUUAAAACUAUAGUUUAUGUGAGAAAUUUAUAUUUGAAUAUAAUAGUUUAGUUUAAUUUUAUUUAAUUAAAUUUCAUUUAAACAAAUUUCUAUAGGUUAUGAGAUUUUUUUUUACUGCAAUUCUCUCAAGAAUAAAAUUAUCGCUCUCUAAGAAUUCUCUUUCUCCAAUUUUGGUUUUCACAAAUCAAAAUCUCAACCCAGAGAAUAGGGAGAUCUCUAAAUGGUGGUGCUAAAAUUUGGCCACUAGUACAAAAGUGGGCUACGACGACAGUUAUUUACUGUCGCGAACGGAUUUCGCGACAGUUAUUUUCAGUCAUAGAAGCGGGAGUCAUGGAAAGGCCUUCGACGACAAUUUUUGAAAACUGUCGCAAUAGGUUGUUUUAUGACAUGAAAUAAAUGUCGUUAAUCAACAUUCAACGACAUUCAAUAACUGUCAUAAUUUAUUUUAUGACAUUCAAUAACUAUCAUCAUUUCUUUAUUAACGACAGUUAAAUAAUUGUCACGAAUUCUACUAUCGUGACAUGUAUUAAUUGUCAUGAAUAUGUUUUUCGCAACAGUUUUUUUUUUGUAAAAAUGUCAUUGUUUAGUUAUUGACGACAUUUUUUUCCAGUUAACGAUUGUGCAAUCGUGACAGUUUUUCGAUAACAUUAAAUGUCAUUGUUUUGCCAUUGACGACAUUUUUUUCCAGUCAAAUAUAAUACAAUCGUGACAGUUUUUUUUUUAAAAAAAUUGUCAUUGUUUAUCUUAUGACGACAUGUUAUUCCUGUCACAUAUAGAGCAAUCGUGACAAUUUAUUUUGUUAAAUAACUGUCAUCGUUCUCCAAUUUACAACAACUAUUAACUAUCACAUUUCUCAAUUUCCUAUAGUUUUAUUCUGUUCUCCAUGCAGCUCCACCAUUACACGAACCAUUAGAAUGACAAUAAUGUAGCUCAGAAUGACAAAUUUGAAAUUAUACAAGUUUCACACCAAUGUACAAGAAAAUAGCCAACACUUUAAUAUAUAUACACUAUAAUACGAUUUAUAAUAUUUGUACAUCUUAAUACAAGUUUCAGUAAUCCACAUGUACGAAAUACUAACUCUUAAUCAAAAGAUAUCUUAAAUAGCAUUCGAAUAUAUUUGACUGGACCAACCGAGAAUGUUCGUUUCUGGAAAUGAUAUUUGAAACAAAACUCAUGAACUUGUCGACUCCAGUUGAACCUACAAAGAAUCCAUAACACAUACGUACAGUCAAUGAAUAACUAAAUCAACGUCUCAACAAAAUACAGAACACAAACAAGAACUUCAACACUUGAUUCCAUGAAAUGAAAAGAGAAGACCAUGAGGACAAAGCUGUCCAUAUUUUGGAAGACCGCAGUUCUGAAUUACAAAAAACCAAUUAGACAGCACAUUGCAAAAACAUACAUCUCUAAUCCCCAAUCCAUAUAUUAAACAUUCAAAGGUAGUGAACCAAGGACACAAGCAAAUAAUCACCUUCUGCAGUUAUUUGAUUGCAAGAAGAUUCAUAUCCCAAUGCAGUAUGGCACCAAAUACCAUAAUUCCAUGAGCCAGUCACAUAUAUAUCGAACUCUUCCUAAGAAACCUAUAAGGAGUAAUAACAAAAAAAAUCUCCAAUCAAAUGGUGGGAAUGGAGAAACUAAGGUGAGUGAGAACUACAAUGGGGAAGUCCAAAAAAUGAAAGGGUACUCAGAAUCCUUCAUUCACAAAAUCUCAUUAAAAACUAGAUUAUUAUACCCAAACAUUGACAAAAUCUCAUAUGCUACUUAAAACUAGAAAAAACAAGAAGCAUGUAAUAAUAUUGAAUUCAAACAUGUACUAGUUUUAAAAUAAUUAACUCUAUUGACUUUAAUAAACUACAUUUGUCUCUCUAGAUCUUUUUUUUAUUUCCAAACAGAAUAAACAACUUGAAACUUCAACCGAUACACAUCAUAAAAACAAGUGAGGCAAUUUGGAAAGCAAAGGGAGAGAAUUAAGAAACAAGGGAGAGAGAGUUACCUCAGUUAAAAAAGAACUCUCACAUAACUCAAAGCUCAAUGUCUCAUCGAUUGUUAUCUUCAACUCUUUAAAAUCUACAAACAAAAUGAGAAUAACAUUAAAACUAAGAACUUUAACUUUUAAGUCUAGGAAUCAUGUCCUUGAAAUAGAAACAAAAUAGAAACUUGAAGUCUCUUUUUCUUCUUCCAUUCCUAGGCUCCAUCGUAAUGAAAGCAUGAAAUGUGUUAAAAAUGAAGGAAAUUCAAGCAUUGCAUAAAACUAUUUCACACAUUUACCAAAUAGCCACUGCAAAUUGAACAACUUCUUGGGUUGUUCCUAGUCCUUAGAACAAAACAGCCUACGACAAUACAUGUACGACAAUUUGUAAUCCUUAGAGUUAAACAGUUUGUAUUAUGCAAUCAUCGCCAAUAAAGCACUAUGAUAUAAGAUAAUUCUAUUGACACAUAAUUUAAUAAGUCAUCUCAUGAGGAUAAAGAACAUUAACAUAAAAGGAAAAAAUAAAAAGUAAAUCAAUUGUUAAAGUAAUACAUACUUCGAAAGAGUGGUUGAUCAGAUGAGCAAUGCUUCUAGCCCUUGUAGCAUCAAUUAUUCGUUCAUCAUCAAUUCCAAACAUGUAAGUGCCAGCACCGUAAAAUAACUGGAACACAUUAACUUUUCUCGGUCCAAUUCCAUUACAGUGGAAGAGGAAAAUCCAAAAUCUACUAGAGGAUGCACAGAGGAAUGCUUCUAAAUUUACCAAAUUCAGUAAACUCACAAUUCACUUCUGUCCAGAGAACCAUUUUAUUUAAGCAACCGAACGUUUAUUGAAAAAAUAAAAGAACCAAGGGCAAACAAAACUCUAUUCAUAACAGAAAUACCAAAACCAAAUUGCAAUAAUAAUAAUAAAAAGACAUACAACAGAAAUACCAAAACCAAAUUGCAAUAAGAAAAACAAAAAAAAAGACGUAAUACUCAUAAAAAGGAGUCAAUGACUAAUCACAUAAAACAAUCUAAUAAAAAAGAAGAUCAUUAUCACAAUUACAAAAAGUCCUAGUGAUCAAUGCCCAAACUGAAUAAUUAAACCUCUUGAUGCAGCAGGUUGGAGUACCAUGCCAAAUCCAUUCUGGAACAAGAGAAAUCUCAUUCCUUAGAGAUGAGAAAAAACUCUCCAAGAACAACGUUCUAUAUUGGAAAGAUAUUCAAGAGGUUCAAAAAUACACUCUAAAUUGGCUAUCUAUAGCCUUACAGGAAAAUAAGACAAUUAACCAAUUAACUAAAAUAUACUAAUUAUCCUUAUCACCUCUCUAGCUUACUUUUUGCAUUAUGUUCCUAUGUCUUUUUUUUGUGCUAUGUUGCUCUUUUUCACUUCUUUGAACAUUGGUCUUUUUUUUCAUUCUCUUAAUGUAAAGUCCCGUCUCUUUUUUUUUUUUCCAAAAAAACUCUCUAACUCCCUAGCCUCCCCUCUAAAUUUCUCCACAUAAUAGCGAAGAAGUUUGCUUGCCACAACCUAGCCAAGUCUUUCCCUUUCCUUCAAUCUAAAAGAGAAGCUCAACAAAUAGGAAGACUAUCAACUAGAUCAUUGUAAAGUUAACUAUGAUCAAACGUAUUGUAGAUGUUCAGUAUAUGGUUCCGACAACCCUUAAGGAGAUAAAUCCUCAAAGCGAUUCUUGGUGUUAAACUAAAUUUUUUUAAAGAAUUUUUUCGGGAAUGAAUGGAAUCAAUAAGUGAACUGGUAUUAUCUUUAAUAAAUCCAAAGUAAACCAAACUUGCAAAAAAUGUGACUUUUGAGAAAAUAAAUAUACAUCAACUAUCUUCAAUCACUUAAGAGCUCUAAAAAUGAACGUAAUUCCGCAACUUGAUUCUAUCUUUUCACUCAUGAAACGCGAAAGUACUAUAACAACCUUGUAAACUCAGGUAUAAGGAUGUGUAAUAUAUGAAUGGCAUUCUUUCAAAGGAAUAAAAAAGCCCAUAUGAAUAUAUCUUGGAUGAAAUCAUUUUUCAAGAUGCAGUCUUUUGACGUCCAUUAAAGAGAUACUUACCUUGGAGAAUAUAUCACGGUUGCGCAAGUUGGAUGUAGAGAAUGAAAGAUGCCAUUAGAAGAGGAGAAAAAAUAGGAAGAAGAAACGAAUUAGAUGGCUAUAAGUUACAUGAAGUUAAGAAUAAGCAACGAAGGAGGAAAACCAUGGCUACAUCUACAACAAAUCCAACAUGUAUACUCCAGAAGAUAAUACAACCCCAUUGGAAACAGCAACAUAGAAUAGAGAGGGUUGUCGAAAACAAAAUUGGAAGAGGGCGACGGUGGCUGCUGAAAAUCCGUCACCUGGAGGUGGGCGCUACACACUGGCAUUCAAUGACUAAAAUCAAAAUCCCUUACACACCCCUUCCCCUAAAGAAAAAAUCAAAGUUCAAGGACCCUAUUAAAACGAUUUUGAAGUUCAACGUCCUUUUAAAGACACAAAACAGAAUUCAAAACCAUAAUUAAACAAUAUAUAGAGUUAUCAAAUUCCCUUUCACACACUACCAUUACUAAGAAAAAACAACAAAACAAGAAACAGGCCAAUCCUUAUUAACCCAAUCAUACUUUAGCGUAAUCGUACACCCAAUCUAAACGAGAAUCACAAGUUCAUAUCUAUAUCUCAUACCAACACAAUCUACAAUCUUUGUCCUGUCAACAUACACACACUUAUAUAUAUCUUCCAUGACAUUCACGAUAUACAUUCGACGUUAUGUCUACUUCAAUUCACAUGCAUUCAUAUAUAUUUUCAGUCAAACCACAGUAUACAUUCAACACACAUACAGUUCACAAUCACAAUUGAGUCCAGUAGAAAAUCCCUUACCUCGAUUUCUAUGCAAAUUCUUCAAUCGACUAAAUCCAAUGAAUCAAAUCCGAAAUAUUGGCGAACUGAACCCUCAACAAUUCACAAUUUGGUUGUGAAUUUAAGGGAGCCCAAGGUUACUCCCAACACUCAACGCACGACUGUCGAACUCGCAGCAAAAUCCUAAGUGUGGGUCGGUCAGCGGUCGGCUAAAGAAGACGUGGCCGGAGAAUCGCGCGGCAGUGCAGCGGUUGGAAUGAAGGUUGCGCGGCUGGCUUUACGGCGGUUGUGAGCGGCGAACGUGGCGGUUACUGGUUCACACGGCGGCUCGGGCUUCGACGAAGACAGAACCGGCGAUGGAGACGGCAGAUCGGCGCGCGGGACGACUGCUGCAAGGUUGCUUCGCGAACCGGAGAUGGAGACGGCAGAUCGCGGGCUACGGCUGGGCUGCGGCGGAAAGAGAACGGAAGAGAAAGACGGCUGGUUGCGGCUGGGCUGCGGCGGGAAGGAAACGGAAGGGAAGGGAGAAGGAGACGGUGGAGUCGUCGCGGCGUACGGGAGGAAGGAGAAGAGGCGCGGCGGUUGCGGCUGGGGAGAAGGGGAAGGACGCACGGGGAGGAAGAAGGAAAUAGGGAAAAGAAAGAAAAAGGAAAAAGAAAAGAAAAGGAAAAAAGAAAAAAAUUUUAACCCUAACAUUCUAUGACAGUUAAUAACUGUCGCGAAAAGUGUUUUCCGAAAAAUUCCGUCUUUUCCCGCCAAAAACGCGAAAUUUUAUAUUUCGUGACAGUUUUUUUUUCUUCCAUUCAUUUUUUGAGAUAUAUAACUGUCAUUGUAGGGUAGUUUUCUUCUAGUGGGCGUUUGGCAGAUACAGAGUCGUUAACAAGAGUAAAAGUGUUUGUUCUUCCCCUUCUUUGUAUUUUAUAAGCAUGCUUAGCCAUAAGAAAAUUAGUUUCUUAAUUAUUUUUUUACUAAUGUAUUUAGCAUUUUUAACUUUCAAAUCAAAUUGAGUUUAAUGUCUCGGUAAAAUUUUCUCCUGCAUAGAGAUCUCAUCCCUUCAAAGACAUGAUUCAAUAUGAAUUCGACAAUCCAUCUCGUCCCUCAGAUGUAAUAAGCUUUAUGAAAAAGAAACAUGCAUGGGGUUGAUGUUAGUUAUGAUAAAGCUUGGAGAACCUGAGAGCUUGCAUUGAAUUCAGUGUGUGGGUCUCUAGAGUCAUCUUAAACCGAGUUAAUCAACAUUCGUUAAGUAAUGGAUCAUUUCACUAAAAACCUGAAGUUGCACUCCCCUCACUAUAGAUAUAUUUAUGUCCAUAUAAUAUAACCCUGAUUAGUAAGUUUGAUCCUUCAUAGGUUUUUUGUAACCUUGACAGGGUAAAAAUACCAUUUUUCCCCCAAGACUAUAAAUCUUGCUCCUUUAUCUCAUUGAUCCAAUAUUGAACAAUUGGUUUAAGGUCCAACUUAUAAAACCAAAUCACUCUCGAGCCAAUGGGAGGGUGAGACCCAUUUUUCAAGACUUGGGUUGAGUCCUUAAGGGAAUUACCUAUCUACUAACCCUAAAAAGAGUGGAAAUGAAUUUUGUCUUGCACCUGAUGUCCCUAGCUAUCUGAUAACUUUGUAGAAAUAUAAGUUAUUAGGUCUUCUAGAUAAAACAAUGGAGUUUAAAACACGAGAUAAAAGAUCAAAACACAUAGCUUUUGUUGCAAAUUUAUUAAGUAAGAAAAUAAUGCAACAUACAUAAAUCACCACGUUUGAUUAACUAUGCUUUUAAGUGUUUUUAAACGCAGGAGAUGAUGAUUAUAAGAAAUGAAGCGAAUUGCAGAAGAAUGUGUUCAAAGACCUAGCGAUAAGAAGUUGCUUGGUGAUCCCAAUUGUGAGGUAUUCUAACAAACAAUUUCAUAACACAUGUUGAUUCACUAAAAGACAAAAGUGGUACUUGGAGUUGAUGUGACUUAAAACAAAUGCUUUUUGCACUAACAAUUGCAGAGGAUAUGAACAAGUUGCUCAACAAGGCAUGGGUAUUUGCCGCCCAAAUAUGCCUACAAAUAUCUUCAACUCCACCAUGUAAAAAAAGUGGAAGGGGAGUUUACAUAAACUAAGAGACGUUCCCCAUAUGUAGAAAUUUUCCUACCUUCACCACUUCCUCGAUCAACUUCUAAGUGAGAGCUUAGAGAGAGAUUAGAGAGAUAAGCUCACAGCCUAUUCCUCUAACUUGUAAAAGAGCCAUAGAAUGCACACUAGUGCAUUCUGCUGCUCGACACCAUUCUUGACUUUAUGUCCAUUCUUGUAUCUUUUUAAUAUUGUUAUUCUCAUGGGUGAGAGGCCUAAAUUAAUUAUUGUGUAUUUAUUAUUAUUGUCAUUCUCUCAUCCCUUUGCUAUUCACAAUCUUGUUGAAGUGUUAUAACUAGUUUAAGUCCAUGUGCUAUGUACUUGAUAAGGGCUUUUUUAAAAAAAAUAAAAAUUUAUAAGACUCAUUGUGUUUAGUUUGAGGUCAAUCCAAAUGUCUAAUUCUCUUCAAGAGAAGGAGUCAAGCAUUGGUCGCCAACUACUUGAGAGAAUAAGUAACAAAGACCUCACUAAACAAGCGCGAAAAGGAGUUUGUGGCAUUUUGCCUCUAUCAUUUGUGUCCUGAAAGAAGAAUAAGGGUGGUGUUUAAGCAUCAAAAGGUUGCUCGCCCUAAUUAGAGAGGAAAUUUAAUGCUUAUAAUUAAAUAAACCUAAAUAUAUAUCGCGUAGCACAUUUUCAUCAUUUGUGUCCCGAAAGGCAAACAAGUGUGGUGUUUAAGCGUCGAGAGGUUGCUCAUCUUAAUUAGAAGACGGUCAAAUGAUCUAUAUUGCAUUAAGACAUAUCGCCUACAACACGUAGACUUUCCUACACGCCUUCACUAAUGCAAGUUAGUUUGCAUUCCAUAAUCCUUCCAUUCCAUUCCACCUUCUACAAAACCCCCUUAGUGUAAAUAGUAGAAAUGACAUACAUUUAUUGUAAAUCCUAGGCCUAAGAUUCAUACUAGGAUUUGGAAUUCGGAUCUCUCGACAUUUUCAUUGGAAUUCGGAUCUCUCGACAUUUUCAAGCAUCUUUUGCGACCUGACAACAUCAUCCUUAUUUGUGUUAAAGGCUUAUUAGAGUGAAAGUUCUCCCGACAAGCUAACACGCUUCCUUUUUAGCAUGCUUUGUCCCCACUCUCAUGUAUCCUAGAAAAAUUUACAAGAGGUCACCCAAUAUAGAAUUGCUCCAAGCUAAGCACGCUUAACUUUGGAGUUUCUAUGGUCAAUCCACCGAAAAGGGAAGGUGCACCUUGUUCGUAUAGGUAGUAAGUUUUUACUUUUUUUAUGUCUUUCUUAACCUUACUUUCAUGUUCUUAGGAUCUCUCUCAAUCAGAUGUGAUAUCGAUUGCAUGAGAGAUUUCUACUAUCGGACCCCAAAUUAUAAUGUCAUGUAUUGUAUGAGACAAUUUAGCUGAUUAUGCAUAGUGUGAGCUUUCAUAUCUUGACUGUCUUGACUAGUUAUGCAUAAGUAUGGAUGUAUUGAUUACUCUCUACACUGAUGAUUGAAUACGUACUAGUAUGAUUAAUUUAACUGCUUGUGAGUUGAACUGAAAUAUUGUGGAUAGGUGGGAAUAUAUUUUUGAGUUGACUGUAUUGGACUGUUUAGACUGGAUUGAAAUUAUCUAGACUAAGGGGAAACUAUUAACUUAGCUAUGGGGUAGUGUACCUUGUAAACACAAUGUCAUACGAGAUCACCACAUAUGGUGCAUCUUUCGGGAUCACUAGACUAAUAAGCGCACUCUUCAAAAUCACUAGACUGAAUGACGUGUAUCCUACGGGAUCAUAAGACUUUUAUGAUGAAUGGUACCUCCUAAUAGGAAGUUAAUAGUUUUACCUCUAACAGGGCCAGUAGUGGGUCUCUCACUGGGUAUAUUCUUGUACUCACCCUUUUCGUGUUUAACUUUUUUACACAAAGGUAAUACGAAAACAGGACAAGAAGGAUUUGUGAACACCAUAAGAAAAUCUUUCAAAAUGCUCCUAGUUAACAUUUUUAAUUACUAUUUUUAGGUUUUGAUUAUUGAAAUGAGUUUCAUGUUUAAAAUGACUGAAUGUUGCGUUGUGUCUUAAAACACAAAUAUUUUUGUAAUUUUAUCUUAUUUGAAAUAGGACUCGAAUUAAAAUUUUCUUUGAUUUUUAUUUUUUAAGUAGAUUUUUUUAUAAUCUUGUGUCUUACCCAUUACAUUUUUUGACAAAUAUGAAAUUAGUUUUUUUUUUUUUUAAAGAAAGGUGAAAUAUUUUCCUUAUGUGUAGGAUCAUUUAUCAAUAUCUUUUUAUAAGGAGUCAAAAGAUCUUCCUAAAAUAUCUCAUUUGAAGAAGAAGAUAUUCCUCAUAGUUAGGAAUAUUUUAUUGUAAGUUCUUCUUUUUUGGCUUUUUAAAAAGAAGUUCUAUGAAAGUAAAAUUAUUCUUCACAAUGGUGUUCAACCAUUUAUAUUUUUGGUGAAGAAUCUGUAAGGUAAACUAGUUACCUUCUACAUUAUGACAGACUAUUGAAGAUCGUCAAGGGAUUUGACAGAAUAUCAAUUGAUAAGAAAUAUAAAUGAAGGCUGAGAUAAUUGUACUACGGUCAAUGAAUUCAAGGAGAGCUUGAAUUCGUCUUCGAGGAGAUUCAAGUUUACCGUCAGGGGAGUCGUCUGAGUUUAUACGGUUAAGUUAUGGUGAUAACUUGUUAAUGUAACUUUAGGGUUAAGUUACAAACUUUUGAAUCUCAAUAAUAUUUCUUAUCUGAGGAAAGAAGCUCCAAGAUGUAGGCCGUAUUUACCGAAUUUGAUUACCAAAGUGCACUGUGUUAUUUGUCUUAUGUGUACUCUAGUUAUUCCUAUAAUUAAAUACUUGUGAUAUAGCUAAAGGGCACUUAACCUCAUCUCACCUGUUUUUCAUUACCGAUUUUUUUUUGGUUGAACUUUAAACAAACAACCUUAACUUGGUUUAAUUAAAAAGUUGGGUCCUUAUAUUUAUAGUUAUACUGUGUAGAUUUUAUACUAUGUAAAAUUGGAAGUAGGUGUUAUAGCUAAGAUUGAUACAAAAUUCUCUAUGGUCGACUCUGGCUUAGCUUGGAAACCACUCGCUUUGCUUACACUUGGGCAAGUGAGAUAAAAACUUGUAUUCAACACAGACUUAGUAAAAGCAGUAACACAUAGGUAGGAUGUGUAUGUUUUAUUACAUGAUCUUAGCCUAGAGGCAUAGUUAGCACCUUUUAUCGCAUAACCUUGUCUCCUCGCAUAGUGAAGUCGCAAAUAUAAAACCUUAAAUGAAAAAUUAAUGAACUUAUUUAGAAAGGGAUGAAAUGGAUAGUAACCAAUCGUGUGCCCCAUCUCGCAUUCAAUACAAUAUGUGGAGAGAAUUCAAACACCAUUAUCCACCUGGUCUUACCCCUGAAAUUGGAGGCCUAUUGGCUUGUGCUAGUUGAACUGUUCUCGCCUAUGCAGAUCUAAGAAUUAUUCUGUGGGAACAAAAGUUCAUAGUUAGCUUAGGAUUAAGAUUAAGCCAACCCAGGUCAUUAAUAAUUGAAAUAGCCAAUCUUAUACAGUCAUCGAUGUUAUAACGUAAAAGUGACUAUUUGAUAUUUUUAAUUUUACGUAAACUCUUUACAUAGGAUACCAUCAGUUCCAUGUCUCCAAAUGAACGAUUUAAGAUUACAUCGUUGUACUAACUAGAAAGCGAGCCACAUUAAUAAAGUGUCCCAAAAUAAGGUGUCCAACCUUAUUCAUAUACUAAAGACCAUUUAAGCUAUAUACUCAAACUUGAUCCACGUUUAUGUCUCUACAUAAAGUUCAAGUUUAUACUAGAUAAUCUCGAGACCUUAGUUUAUUGAAUUCAAGAUUAUAGUUUUCAAUUUUCAAUAAUAAAUCCUCACUAACUACUUUAUUGAAUAAAAUAUAACUUUAAACUAGAAACUACAAAUUUUAGGACAUAAAUUUCAAGAAACACUUGUAUUUGUCUUCCACCAAUUUAUUCAGUUAUAAUAUGUUAUGUAAUUUUUUUGUUUGUUUUUCUUGUUAUGACAAUUAUAACAAGAAAAUAAAAGAACAAAAAUGAGAUAAUCAACUUAUCAAAUAACAAUUCAACUCCAGAGGAUUCAAUCUUCAAAGUGUUUAAACAACACUCAAGUUUAUGCAAUGGAAAUUAGUACUCAAAAGUCGUCCACUAAUGUCAGUUCAACGAGAAAAAAUGAUAGACACGAAAUAUUCGGCCAACAUCAACUAAAUAUUCCGCCAACACCAUAAAAACAAAAGAAGAAAAAAAGAAAAGAUUUUAGGUCCAUUAUAUUCUCCCAUAUCACAAAUACAAUUUAAAACCUCAUUUUAUAAAUCUCAAAAACUCACAGAACUAACUCUAAGAUUCUCAUUUUCCUACCAAUGUCAAACAAUAAAAACCAAACUGUCCAAAAAACUGACAAGUUUGCCUCUAAUGCAUUCCUAUAAGACAAUAGAAAAAGCACUUUAAAAACUAAAAGGAUAAUCCAAGAAAAAAGGCACUUUCAAAACAAUAAUCACUUAUACUCAUAAAAUUGUACGGUGGCAUCAUUUCCACAAUUACUAUACACAUUAUCUAAUAAUAAUAAUAUAGAAAUUUUUUAUCAAAUAACAACAUUGUUCAAAAUGUUUAAAAAUAUAUGUAGCAAAAUUUUAAAAUCUAUCGAGCAUAGACUUCUACCAAUGUUUAUCAAUAUUACGAAUAAACAUCGAUAGAAAUCGUUCAAUAUCUCUGUACGACAAAAUAUGAAAUUUUGCUAUAUUUUGUAAUUAUUUUGGUUCACCUUAUUAUAUUAAAAUCAUCUCUAAUAUACAAUCGCUUAUAAUUUUUUUUAAAAUUAUUUUACUUUCAACUAUCUACAAAUAUUUUUUAAAUAUAUGUCUAAUAUUAAUAUACCUCCCUUUUAUUGUCCUCCGUAAAUGACCAAUCAAAUAAAAUUUAUAUUAAAUAGAUCAAUACUAUCUAUACUACUAAAUAAAUACAAUGGCAAGACUGGAUUGAUCCACAAGGAAGCAGAAAGAAUAGUUUCUCAAAGUUAAUUAUUUAGGUAAAGUGAUAAAUUUAUUUAGGUAAAGUGAUAAAUUGUGGGAGUUUGACAUUGUUUGAGAUUCAAAUGAUGAGUAGAAAACGGUAAGAAAAAUGCAAUUGAUCAAAAUGUUUUAGCUUAAAGGAAUAGAAUCAUCCAAUAAAAUCUUGACAAUCGAAUUAUCAAACCAUGACUUAACUCCUUACCUACAUGUAGCUCGAAUGAUUAGAAAAGCUAACUAGCAGCCCUAAACAUCAAAUUAGCCAAUUUAAUAUAUUAGAUAAUGAGAAACAUUCUAAUCAACUUAACUAACUCCAUUACACUUUGCAAAUUACACUAUACUAGGAUAAAUUUCUUGUAGGAAAAGGCGCUUAAUUAGAAAUUUAACAUGUUUCCUUACGUGAAUAGAACAAUACUUUUUGUCAUCGACCCCAAAUCACAUGCCAAUCUAGUCUAUUUACUUUUGGAGAUUAACAUACAAUUCUAUACCACCAUAUUAUACAUUAAUCUAAAGCAAUGGAAUAAUUAAUAUAGCAAGAGGAAAACACAUUGAUAAAAAAUCUCAAUCAUACUAUCAAAAUACCUCAAAAAAAGUACAAUAGGUUUCUCCAAAAUCCUCUAAACUUGAAAAAACAAAGAUCGUACAUUCUCAUAACCGAAGAUAAGAUAGAGAGACUUGCAUCGUUUUUGCUUGAUUACAGAGAAUGGAUGAAAGUAAACCUAAUUAAAAUCUAAUGUUGUGGAUGGAUAGAGGACGAAAAAUCUAAGAAAUUAAAAUAAAUAGUUAUUUUCUCAAAAUGGCCACUUGGAUUGAAAGAUAUAACUUGAAAAUGAUGUUGUAGAUUUCUAACCGUGCGACGUGCUGCAAUGUUACAACAUUUUUCAGCAUUAUGUAAAGAGCACCGAGAGCCACGACACCGUGAAGCGCUGCAACGCUCUUACCUGAGGUCAAAUGUGAUGUUUUCUCUCCUAUUUAAAGCCUCAUGCGUGUCCUUUUUAGCUUCUAAUUACUCCAAAUUAAACCCGGACGAAUAAUGUUCUAUAAUGUUUGUAUUACCUUAGUUGUUCCAAUGAAUAUAAACGUUUAGUUAAGAACAUUGAAUAUCAUAAAUGGGUAAAAUUAGAGUAGCUAAGAUGACACAUUUUUUGUGGUCAAGUUUUAACAACAAUAAAAAAAUCUAAAAUAAUGUUUUUCUUGUGACGAUAAAGAUAGUUUGCAAAGGUGACUAAAAUAUAAAUGAAAUUAUUAACAAAGGAAGACUUCCAAUUUUUGACGCAUUACAUUAUCACAAUAUUCUACUUUACUUUAACAGUAACGGUUGAGGAAUAUAAAAAUUUGAAGAUAACAAUAACACAACUCAACUCAUUUCAUUUGUUAGGAAUAUAAUUGUACACUCAACUCAUUUCAUUUGUUAGGAAUAUAAUUGUACUCUCAAGUAUCUCAAGUAAGUCUGCAGGUGGUCACAAAUUCAAAUCUUCCAUCAACUUCACAUAUAUUAUUGAACUUCAAUAUUGUUCAAACUUCCUCGUUAUUGACAAAUUCAGUAAUUGGCAUGAUGGGGUUGAAGGUUUAAUUAAUUCGCCUACUCCAUAUUUGUUGUAAAAAAAGUUGCUUCAUCUUUCUCUCUUGCAAUUCACACAAUCUCCUUAUAAGAAACCUAAUAAGUUCACUAAUGAGAUUCCAACUUCGAAGAGAAACACAUUGAGAAGUGCUUUUUCCACAAUUCUCACAACACAUAUAUUGAAAAGAAUUCCCCACUUGAAAACAUUUAUAAUUGGAAAAAGACAGAAUAAAGAGUCACAUCAAUGAAAAACCCACUUCUUGCUUUAGUUUAGCUAUAAAGGCCACCUACCUAUGGACAUGAAGAAUGAGCAAGAUUUGAAGCUAAACUUCAAAAUGGCUCAGAUUGCUAAGAUCUCAGAGCAAGUGCAGCUCAAGUGUUCUGGUCACAAAUUCUACGACUUUUUCACUAACAAAAUGGACUCUGUCAUUCAAAUGUUUCCUCACAUUGUUACAAGCUACAAAAUUCUAGAAGGCAAUGGUUUCGCUCAUGGCAGCGUCAUCCAUCUAAAAUAUAACAUAGGUGAGAAUAUUAAUUUACCAUAUGCUUUUUCUAUUAAUUUACCAUAUGCUUUUUCUAUUUUGUUUUUGGUUGGUGAACUUUCAAAUAUAAUAUUUUCACGUUCUAACAACAAUUUUAAUCCCUUUAUACAUAUUCUAGAAUCAAUUAUUUAUAUGCAGAUAUGAUCAAAAAGUUUAGGAUAUAUUACCUUUUUUUCUUGUUCGAUCGAGUUCUACAAAAUAUGUGUGAGAAUGAAGUUUAAAAAAUCUUCGUGCAAUUGUAAAACUGUCUUUAACAUCAUGAAAAUUUUGGCUAUAAAUUUCCAUUGGUAUUUUAUGAAAGAUGAUGGAUAAACUAUACAUGACCGUGGUUUAGAAAAACACAUCUUUCUUCAAAAAUAUUUCGUGCUUUGACAUGAAAUAUCAUAUAUGAUACCGAUGAAAGAAAAGUUGGUUGUCAUGGCUAUUCUAAAACCACCAUUGGAAGUCAAGAAAAGCCCAAAGAAAUAUAUAUAAAUGUGCAACACUUGAAAAAGCUCUCUUUUUUAGUACAAUAAUUUGAGGUAGAUGAUUCAAACGACAGAUCUUAUGGUUAUUACUACACUUUUAUAUCAGUUGACCUUUGUUUUGUUGGCCUGACGACUAUGAAUAAAUUAUUUAGCGAAGCAAACUUUUUUUAUAUCUAUAGGCCUAAAUAAAUCCAUUUUAGAAUAACGAUAAGUACAUCAUUCAAUAGUAUAUUUCAAAAAAGAUUGGGCAUAUUACAUGAAGAUAUUUGGAAACCUAUGGUAAUUUAUUCAACUAUUGAAUUCAUUAUACGUUGUUCAAUCAAAUACCUCGACUACGUGUUUAAGUAAAAAGAGUAAAAGUAAAGAUACCCAUUUAAUUUAUAGAUACAUAGAUACAUAAGAAUAAUCAUCCUACUUUAAAAUUAACAUUUACAAAAAUAACUCUAACAAACAUUUUGGGUCUAAGAAGUCAUAAUUAGUUGAUGUUAAACAUAUUAAGAAACAUAAAAUAAUACUUACCAAUAGUUUCAUAAAUUCGAGCUUUUAGGUUCCUUAGCUUAAUUGAAUUAGGUUCUUUUCUGGAUUACCUUUUCCCAUUUUUUUAAGCGAGAAUUUCUUAAGUGUUUCAAAUAAAAAUUUGUUUCUCAAAUUAUAAAAGGAGUUAUGAAAUAAAAUAAAAAAUUUACCAAUAUAAUAAACCAUAAAAAAAAAUCAUUUUUGAUAACCAUAAAUGGUGACGUGAUAAAUAAAAUAUCAACUAGAUUUGAUAUUUUGUUCAUCAUCACGUUAUCUGAAAAGGACUAACCAUGUCAUAGACACAAAUUUUAAUCUAUCGCGAUCGGUAAGAGAUAGAAAGUAAUUUAUCUCAUAGGUAUAUAUUUUUCUUACCGUAUGUUUAAUAGAAGUUUAGAUAACCACGUACAAGUUAUUUAAGUGUUCCAAAAUUAGAAUUUAAGGGAUAUUUUUAAACGGAUGAAGCGAAAGAAACAUACAAGAUAAAGCAAAAUUUUAUAGCUGUCUAGCCAAAUUAUAUUAGUAUAUAUAAUUGAAUUUCUAAAAUCACAAUAUAAGAAAGUUUAUCAACGAAUCUUCAUCAUUGUUGGCUUAUCGGUGUGAUGGACUAAUAUUUGCAAUAUGACUUAUCAAUGAAGGACUUCUAUCAUUGAUAGAGUUUGACCAAUUUUUUUAUAUUUACAGAAUUUAAAAAAUGUUACUAUAUCUGUAUACUAAUAGUUUGAAUCUAAUUAAUUGCUCUAUUUUGUCGUUGUGCCAAUUAUAAUUAUAGAACUAUAUAAAUGGAAGUAUAUACUCAACUGUUGAUACACAUACUUAAAAUUGGAAUAAUAAAAAAAUUGCAAAUAAGGUUUAAAUUACUUUUUUGCUAUAUAUUUUCCCUAUAUAUAACUUAGUUACUACUAUCAAUGUAGCUUUAUGGAUUUAAUUUCUUACCCCUUUGUGGAACAAAAUACAUAGGUGGCCCAGCAGAGAUUAAGGAGAGGUUAGCCUUUGACGAUGCCAACAAAUCAAUAGCUUUUGAGGUGUUUGAAGGAGAUCUAUUCAGAGAUUUUGAAGUAUUCAAAAUGAAAAUGCAAGUUAUUAAUGAGAAAGGUAGCAAUGGGAGCUCGGUUAAUUGGUCUAUAGAAUUUGUGAAGGAAAAUGAAGAUGUGGCUGCACCACAUCACUAUCUCACAAUUGCAGCUCAAUCAAGCAAAACACUUGAUGAUUACCUUUGCAACAACUGAACCAAAAACUAUAUCCCCAACUUCACUUGACUACUCAAAUAUGAUCUAAAUAAACUGAUCUCUCCUAAUUAUCUCUAUGUUUUUAUGAUAUGUGUUUUCAAGGUUUAAUGGAAGAAAUAAUUAUGCUUCAUGAUGCCUUAUUUUCAACAUAUAUUUUUCCUUAGUUAGCCAUUUUAAAUAAUAUAUAAUGUGAUAUAAAAAUCUGGAUAUAUUUUGUUCUUACCAAUAGUUACAAUAGACACAUCAUAAUAUAUAUGGGAUUACAAUGAACAUAUAUAACUCAAAUAAUAAAGUUUUUAAACAUUAACCUCGAGAAUAGAGGUUGAUUCUUGAUAAGGAUUACUAUUGUAAAAAAAAUUAUAUUCCUUGACGUUAUUUUCUAGUAAGUGUGAAGAAUAAAAUAUAAUAUUUUUAUUGAGGCAAAAACAGGUCAAGCUAUAAUUUACUUAAUACACAUAUGAAUUUCAAAUAUAUGAGAUCAGUUGGUUUAUUCUAAGUGUCAAGUACCAAAAUUCUUGAUCUAUACAUCAAGGUUAUUUGUAGCUUGAUAGAUUUUACCUAUAAACCCUAGACCUAUGAACUGCUAAGUCUUUCUAGAGCUAUAGUGGAGGAGUUGGAAGUUGAAGUUUAUUUUGAGUGAUGUAAUUCAAAGUUGGGAUUAAUUUCUCAAAUGAAUUCUCUGUCAUUAAUGGUUAAGAGAAUGGGUAUUUAUUGAGAAUUUGUAGGUAGUUACAAGUAGUUGAAAUAACUGUUUAUGAAACAGUCUUAACUGUUAAACAGUUUAAACUGUUUUACUAACUAACUGCAGUUGUUUAACCAUAGCUUUAUUCUAUAUUACAUCAUUGAGUUUAUUAGAAGAGAUGGAAGAAAAAUUUUAACCCAAGGAACAUGAUUUGCGUGUCACCAUAGCCAAAGUGGGGUCGUUGAGAAGGGAAUUUUUACUAAGUGUUGGUGUAAGGCAACCAAAAAGAGAUUAUCAAAGUGGAAAUAUACUAAGUGUUUAGCUAGGCAUUUUGAGCCAAGGUUAUGUAGCCAAAGUUGUAAAGAUAAUCUCUAAGGACAUGAGGUAGGCAGCCAUGCAAAAGUGAGCUAGCACUACUACAAAAAUUGAAUUACUUGACAUUAAUACAGUGUCAUGUAAAUCUAUACUUGACGUUUUAAAAAGCGUCAAGUAAUCGACUGUCAAGUAUAGUUCUAUUACUUGACACUAAAAAAACGUCAAGUACUCUAUUGCUUGACAUCAUUUUUGUGUCAAGUAAGAUAGUAUACUUGACAAUAUUUACACGUCGAGUAAAUUAUAUACUUGACUCUAUUUACCUGUCAAGUGAGAUAGUAUACUUGACACUAUUUACAAGUCGAGUAAGAUAUAUAUUUGACUCUAUUUACCUGUCAAGUGAGAUAGUAUAUUUGACAUUAUGUUAUUAUGUCAAGUCAAAAUUUUAUAGUUGACACUAUAUAUCCAUCAAGUAAAAUGGUAUAUUUAACUCAAAUAAGAUAGUAUAUGUGACAUGUAUUUAAUGUCAUGUAUACCAUUUAUUAAUAUAUUAAAUAUACUAAAUUUUUCUUUUUUCAUUUUUUAUUUCCUGCAUUACAUACAUUUACUUCAAUAAGACAUAUCCAUAAACAAAACAAAUUCUCCAACGAACAAUUACACAACAAAAAAAAGGACAAAAAGUUUAGUAUAAUAUGUAAACCAACAAUAAUUUCAUUAUUCUCAACAAUGUCAUCAACAAUUACACAAUUCCAAUCCAAUAUAGCCAACUAAAAUUUCCUAUAUGUGUCCUAUUCCAAAAUAUUAAAUGAUAAUAGUUGUCUUAUAUAAUCAAAAUUGAAGUCUAUCCCCAUAUAUCUUUUGCCCUCAUAAUGGCUAUGAACAAAACGUUUCCACAAAAAGGUUAUGAGCAUUCACAUAUCUUAGCCAUUUACAAAAUUAACAUGAUCAUAUCUAGGUGUGUCUAUCAUAUGUACCGAGCUAAAAAUCCAGCCCACUCCCCUCGUCUAUCCAAUUCAAGCUGUGUGUAUGGGCUUCUUGUAUCAAUCUAUAAAACAUAAAAAGUAGGAUACACUUUGUAAAAUAUUUGAGUUAGUCAUAAUAUACUAUCUAUAACUUUAUAAUGUAAAUAGUUUAAAAACAUACCGCACCAGUGAUAAUGUUUGUGUCCUUAGUCACAAUUUCUUGCAUGUAUCUCAUGACAUAAUAUCCACAUUCAACCGUACCUACUUGUAAAGAACACUAUAACACAACCAAUUAACAAUGCAUAUAUAUUAUAUUAUGUGCUAGAUUAAAAUAAAAAUUAUUUUAUAAAUAUAUUUACAUUUACCAAUAUAUGCAUGAUUGGCUACCAUAGCAGGAUAGCCACACAUAAUACAACUUAAAAUAUACAAUAACUGUGUAAUAUAUACAUGAUUGGCUACCAAUGCUACGGGGCUACCAAGGCUACAGGAUAACCACAAGAUAGUAUGACUCAAAAUAUACAAUAAGUGUGUAGUAUUUGCAUGAUUUCCAAAUGAGAAGGAUGAUUACAUACCUCAAUCAUAUUGUAUACUUUUUCUUUCAACUCAGUCGACACCAGCCUUCCAGAUGCUAUUCCAAGUGCAUGUGUAAUUGGGAUAUGAUGAUGCACACAAGAUCAAUUCAUUACUCAUUACUAUAAAAAAAAUGGCAUUCAAAAGUAUGAAUCUUACCAAGAGUAAAUAUACCAAUUCAUUACUCAUUACUAUAAACAAAUCAAUAUGAUAAUUAUAACCAUAACGACAACAAAUUAAUUACGGUCUAAAACAUCCAAGAGUCACCCUUAAUUUUUCAUUACUCAUUCCUGUAAAAAAAACAACAAUAAAGAAAAAUGAUGGUCUUCUCGAUUUGUCAAUUAGAUUAUACCAUUUGUUUACGAAUUUGAACAUAAACAACAUAAACAUAUAACACAAAUAAAUAUAAAUAUACGAGAGUCAUUCUCAAUUUUCUUCUCUUUGUGUUUUUCUCACUUUGGGUUUACAAUAUCAUCCUUAAUUACAAGAUAUAAAUCAAAUUCAAGGGAGCAUUAUUCAUUGAAAAAUGUUAAAUACAAUAAGAAUGAGGAGCAUAAAAACCUUUGAACGCGGAAGCAGUUCGCCGUGCGGAAGAUGUUCGCAGUCGUGGAAGCCGUUCACUGUGGAAGUUGUUCGCUGCGUGGAAGCCGUUCGUCGGGUUGAAGCUGUUCGCAACGGGUUGAAGCUGUUCGCCGGGUAGAAGCUGUUCGCAGGGUGGAAGCGUUCGUCGUGUGGAAGUCAUUCGCCGUUUGCCACUCUGUGUUGUGUGGAAGUCGUCCGUCGAUUCGAAGAAGUGGUCGUUCGCCUGUGUGUUGUGUGGAAGCGUGGAGAUGAGAAUAGGGUUUCAUCGUGGAGACGUGAGGGAUUACUAAAAAUAGGGAAAUAAAAGAUUUUAAUAUAUUUACUUGAUAUUUUUAAUUAAAUGAAUUUAAUAAAUUUAAUUAAAAUAUUUCAAUAAAUAUAUUUGAUAAACUUUUCAAAAAAUUAUUUUUUUCAUAUAUAAAUAUAAAAUAAAACAAGCUUUUUUAACAAUAUAUAAAUAUAAAUUUUUUCCAUAUAUAUUGUUUUAAGGUUAAAACUUGAAAAGCAAUAAAUUUUUCAUCUUUUCAUUGGAUACCUUUUUUAACAAUAUAUAAAAGGAAAGAAGUGUUAUUGAGGAAGUUGAAAAAAAAGCCCACUAAUCAUUUUUAAUAAUCAACAUGAAAAUUUCUAUAGAAAAAAAUGAAAGAAACAUUAAAAAGGAAAGAAAAUUACAUGAGUUUUUGUUAACUUUUGAGGAAGAUCCAUGGAUUGAUCAUGAGAAUAUAAAGAUUUGAGAUGAUGAAUAUUUUUUGAAUUAGGAAAGAAGGUUUUUAUAGGAGAAAUUAGGAAUUGAUAAUAGAAAAUAAGUUGAAAGGGUGAAAAUUAGAAAACAAUGGAUUUGUACCUUGUUUUCAAUUUGUUAUUAUUAUUAUUUUUCUUUAUUUCUUAGUUUUUGAUAAUAUUUUUUUUAAUUAUAUCAUUUUAAAAAAAAUUAAAUAGAGCGGUUUGUGAGUUUUUGUUUCAAUUUAUUUGUUUUUAUUAAUUUAUUCUUAAUUUUCGCUAUCAUUAAACAAUUUUCUUAAAUUAUGUUUUAGGUUUCCAAGAUCUUCAAUCUUUCCAUAAAAAGAAACAAAAAAAGAAAAAAGAAACCCUAAAUUAUUUUGAUUUUAAUUUUUUUGGUAAAUAACUGAAUUGAGUUAUAUAUGCUCACUUUAAUAAAAUGAUUUUUUUAUUAAACAAAACUUCAUAAAAUCAAGUUGAUGUGCGAGAACUUAAUAUUAUAUCACUUACCAACACAAUAUUUAGAUAUGCAUCUCCUGGAUAUCACCUAUUUUUGUCUAUCAAAUUGUCUAAUCAUGUCACAAAAUUUGUAAUUUUUUUUAUGUGAGUAGUGAUAAAUGAUGUGUAAAAGUAAAUAAUUAUGGAGAUAUACCAAUAAAUUGGAUCUAUUAUUAAUCUACACUACAAACUAAAAACUAAACAAUGGAAAAAGUUGAUCCAUUUAAAAUUUAUUAAAAUGUUUCAAUAAAUUUCAUUAAUAAUCAUUUCAAUAAAAUAUUUUAAUGAAUUUCUUUGAUGAAAUAUUUAAAUAAAUUUAUUUAGUGAAACAGUUCAACAAAUCUGUUUUGGUAAAAUAUUUUAAUGAAAGAUUUCAAUAAAUUUAUUUAAUUAUUUUUUAUUAAUUUUUUUAAUAAAUUUAUUUCAUAAUAUUUUCGUUAAAGUUUUUAACAAAUACAUUUAAUAAUGUUUUCAUUAAAAUAUUUUAAUAUUUAUUAAAUAAGCAUUUCAUCAAAAUACUUUGAUAAAUUUACUUAAUGAUUUCAUUAAUAUAUAUUAUUAAUAUAUUUAUUAUUUAUAAAAUUUUGUAUAAAAUAUUUUAUAAUGAAAUAUUUUCAAUAAAAUUGUUUAAAGGAAAGAUUCAAUAAACUUAUUUUAAUGAAUUCAAAAAAUUAUUUUAGUGAUAAAUUUCAAAAAAUUUAUUUAACAAUUUUUUAUUAAAAGUUUAAAUUUAUUUAAUAAACUUUUCAUUAAAAUGUUUUAAUAAAUUUAUUUAAAGAAAUGGUUUCAAUAAAUUUAUUUAAAUAAAAUAUUUUCAAUAGGUUUAUUUAAAAGAAAGAUUUUAAUAAAUUUAAUUUAAGUAAAGAUUUCAACAAAUUUAUUUUAGUCAAAAAUUUGUAAAAGUUUGUUUUAGUGAAAGAUUUCAAAAAUUUAUUUAAUAAUAUUUUAUUAAAAUAUUUUAAUAAAUUUAUUUAAUGAGUUUUUCAUUAAAAUAUCUUAAUAAAUCUAUUUAAGGAAAUAUUUUCAAUAAUUUUAUUUAAAGGAAAAUUUUCAACAAAUUUAUUUUAACGAGAGAUUUUAGUAAAUUUAAUUUAAUGAGAGAUUUCAAAUUAUUUAAGUGAAAAAAUUUCAAAAGAUUUAUUUUCAUAAGUUGAUUUUAAAAAAAUUAUUUUAAUAAGUUGAUUUUAAAAAAUUAUUUUAAUAAGUUGAUUUUUAUACUUUUUAUUUUCAUCAUUUUUUAAACGUUUUAUAUUUGACAUUUUGGCAAUUGACAUUUUAAAAGUGUUAAAUAAAAAAUGUUAACUAUAUUUGACGUUGUUUUCGCGUCAAGUAAAUGUCCACUAUACGUGACACGAAAAAAACGUCAAGUAAAAUCUCCACUAUAUUUGACGCGAAUAAACUGUCAAAUAAAUCUCCAUUAUAUUUGACGCGAAAACCAUGUCAUAUAAAAGUUAACGUAAAAAUUUUCUUUUUUAAAACCAUACCUGACAUGUUUUUUGUGUCAAGUAAAUGUUCACUACUUUUAACUCGAAUAAAAUGUCAAGUAAAAUCUACUUUAUACUUGACGCAAAAAAAAAAAAAAAAAAAAACGUCAAAUAAAGCUAACAUAAAAUAAUUAAAAAAAAAUUCGUGAAAACUUCAUAUUUUUUAAGACUAUACUUGACGUUUUUUCUUUAACAUAGUUCAUACUUGACGUUUUUUUAAUAAAAACGUCAAGUAUGUAAAAGUUGCUAGCGUCAAGUAAACUCAUUUUUGUAGUAGUGUAGGCGUUUUGAAAAUAGACUAGGCAGGUAACCAUGUCAUUAAAACCUUUAACGGACAAAGACAUGCAACCAAGAAAAGUAUGUUAAGCGAGGAAAUUAGUUAUGCUAGGCAUUUAGGUUGGCAAGCUUGGCUAAGCGAGAAAGGUGUCUAGGCGAGCUGCAUAUCAUACGGCCAAUGCAAGAAAAGCGGGUAAAUGCCACGCAAGAGAGUCUACAGCAAGGCUAUGAUGUGUGCACCAUUAGGGAUGUACCUAUAGAUCACAUGCAAAGUUAUGGGUUAGUUAUAACUGUGUUCAUACUAAAGGAAUAAAGAUUUUUCCAUAGUGGAAGCGUAUGAACGUCACGCAAAUGGAAUUCAAUUUGAAAAACAAAAUUAAAAAAAAAAAAAAUCAGAGAAAACAAAAGUAAAGCCUAAACAUACUUCUACGGAGAAAAAGAAAAAAAGAUUCAGAGAAAACAAAAGUUUUCAUGAGUGAUUUUCUUAAAUGCUUUCGUGCUAAAAUCUUUCUUGUGAUUCCUCUUUACUAUUUUGAAAGGUGAUUUCAAAUAAGAAAGUGUUUCAAAAAGGAAUUUCUAUGAAAUGUUUCGAUGUUUUCAAGUAUGAUUUAUGAUGUUUAAAGUUUUGAUUUGAUGAUUACGAUUUCAAUGCUAUGAAAUAAUUUUCAAUCCAUUAGUUGUUUUCUUGAGAUAAACCUAACUUUUAUGUGCACAUAAAGAGUCAAGACCACCAUGGGGUGUACGAGACUAGAUGGUGAUAAGAAGCUGACUUAUGCAUUUAAAGAAGCUGACUUAUGCAUUUAAAGAAGUGUAUAAAGCUUAGCGACUUAAGCAACAAAGAUGAAUCUGUAUACUCUCGAAUGCUGAAGAACUCAAUAGCCUAAACGCAAAGUUAUGUGUCCUAGCAUAGAGAAUGAUUCGGAAUCCUUGACGGAGGAAAUGUUUGUUAACUAGUGUGUGUUUAUUUGAGAUGAUUCAUUUAUGCGAAAAGAUAUGUUAUGCAAAAUGGUGUUUAUGCAAACUGAUAUAUUUAUAUGAUUUGAUAUGUUAUCUUAGUUUGCAAAAUAAUAUUUAUGAAAAGAUAUUGCGAAAACGAUUUCAUAAAACCUUACUAAGUAUUUUAGACUUAUUCUUUAAAAUUUAUCUUCCAAGACUUAAGUGUUGAGAUCAAGAGGAGAGGAAAGUUUGAGCUUACCAGGUGAAAAGCUGCCAUGCAUUUAGUUAUAAGCUUAACUGUAUUGUUUGUAAUUUUGGUUAAGUAUUGUAUCUAUAUAUUCAUGUAUCAAACACCUUGUUCGUAAUAAAAGUUAAAGUUUGUCUUAUCUUUUCCGCGUUAAGUUCUAUAUCGCCUAAAGUACUUAUGUUAAGUGUUCUGGCGAUUAAGCUAAGUCAAGGAAGUUAAGACGAGUGUCUUUGACGUUUAACCGCAUCAAGGAUGCUCAAGUUGCAUCGCGUCUCGCGAGAAAAACAAGUAGGUAUGUGAGGCGGAGUAUGACAACCCAAAUGAGAACAAAACAUGAUCAAUACCUAUCAGUAGUCUUUAUCUCAAAUCUAUUUUUCAAAUGACUUUCAACCUCCAAAACUUUCUUCCAAUUCUAAUAUGUACUUCUGAAAGUUUAUGGAUUGAAUGGAGAGAAAUGUAAAUUUAUGCGAGAUUAGUAUUUACCAUACAAGUCGCUAUGUAUGGUGGCAAUGAGAAGCUCAAUUUGUUAAUUUGAUUACCUCUAAUAUGUUGGGAGAGAAAUUGAACAUUGUGGACAAUGUUCUUCCCCCCACAUAAACUUCCGCUUUAACAUUUAGAUGCCUAAAUCGAACUUCAAAACACAUUCAUGUCCAAUCUCAAACACCAGCCAAGUCCAAUAUUUAGAGGUUAUCAUAUCCUAUCCAUGUCAAAACACAUUCACAAAAGUAACUCUAAAAGAACACAUUCAUACAAUGCAAAACAAAAAGAAAAAGACUUCUAAAGCUUUUGACACAUAUCGUCAAACACCUCACAAGGACAAGCUAAUAUCAAAUUUUCUCAUAAUCUCACAAGAAAGAAAUCUUAUUUAAGUUAAUUGAUUGAUGAUGUUCUUUAUUAGAAGAUUACAAGAAAUAAAUAAGAGAAUACCUUCCACUUUUAUGCAUGAUUCCAAAACAAAACAAGGUGGAAACCCAAAUAGAAACCACAUAGAUCUUUGGUCUAUUAAUUACAAAUAAACUUAUUGGAACAACGUCAGUAAAUGAAUAGCAGCAGAAUUAAAAUAUAUAUGACAUGUCUUGAUUAAAAAUCAAUUCGAAACAUCAUAUUUUAAAAGUGUGAUUGUACACUAAAUUAGUUUUAACCAUUUCAAACCACUCCUAAACAUUUUCUAAAUCCUCAAAACCAUUCAUCAUAUUAUCUUGUUCAGUUUUGUCUAUAACCUUACUGCAAGAAACUAGUGGUUUUCUUCCUAAAGGUUGGUCAUGAAAAGCUAGAACAAAGAAGAAAAGUCAUAAAGGGGAUGCAUCAACUCAUGAACCAGUAGGCCAAAAUUCUAGAUAGUCUCUAUCCUAAAUGAAUUCACUACUACAACUUAGCAACCUUAUGGAAUCAAACAACAUAAUGCACAAUACUUGAAAAAAUCAAACCAUCCAUUCAUACAUACAUAAGUUAUGAAUUGAGUAAAGAUGACAAUUACUGUAUCGGUUGUGUUAUAUCAAAGAGGUUGGAUCUACGACGACGAUGAUUGAUGUUGCUUCAACAUAAAAAGUAUUUCUGGGUCUGGCUAGCAACCUGAGUUGGGGUUCGAGUCUUAACAAAAUUCCUCUCCAAUCUCCUUUCCCCACUUUCUGUAAUCCCAACAAAAAAAGCUUGUGUUCUUCCUUGUCCACGGUACAACAGAAAAUCAUCCCCAAUCAUUAUCAACUCCAAAUUCCAAAUAAAUUGCACUAAUUUACGAGCUUCCAAGAUUUUUGGAAGAUUUUUUUGUGAAAUGGUAGAGAGAAAGGAAAAUAUAAAAAUAAAAGUAUAUUUAAAUUUUUUUUUAAUGAAAAGUGGGAGGAAAAUGACAAAAAAAAAAAAGGGCUGAAUUUUAAGUUUGUUGUUAAAAUAUAAAUAAAAAUCUAUUUGAUUAAAGUUUUAGCAACAUUUAAGUUGUUGCUAAAACUAUCUAACUAGUGACGCGAAUUAAAAAUAUGUUGCUAAUAAUAAUAUUUUGUGAUAUUUUUUUUGCGUUGCUAUAAACGAAUUUUUAUUGACAAAAAUUACUUGCGCCCAUAAAUCUUUGUCAGUGAAUUAUAAAAUUUUUGUAGUGAAAUUUGAUGGACUUUGUUUCACUUGUGAAGCCCCGUCUAUUUCUUUUAGGUUAAUUUUGUUAUGCAAUUAACGAAUGAUUAGUGAUAGUGAGACAUAAAAACAGUAAGUGAAAAAAAAUACAAAAAGCAAAUUUCGUGCAGUUUGUUCUUUAACCACUUGGGGAUUGAUUUGUGGUCCGAUCGAGCUUAAAUUUUGACAGUGCAUUAUUGGCACAAGAGUCUUCAUUCUGAACGGUAAAGAUUUCAUUUGAAACUAUCUACAAUCAGAUUCUAUUCAAUAGUUAGCUACCACAUAUCGUGUCAAAUGAACUUUACACGUGGAAAAGAAUAUUAGAUAACUGUGCAUAUAUAUUCUAUGUUAUUCUAUGUUACUUGAAUGAAUGGUUGUAAAUAAAAAGAAUCAAAAGUCAGCAUCAUUAAACAGCCCACUUCUUGGGUUCACAUUUGGGUAUAAAAAGGCACUUCCAUUUGAAAUGGAUGAACAGAUCUUAAAAGUAAUUUGAAAAAAUGGCUCAGAUUGCUAAGAUCUCAGAUCAGGUGCAGCUGAAGUGUUGUGGUAAAAAAUUCUAUGACUUUUUUAAGAACAAAAUGGACCAUUUACCUCGAGUGUUCCCUCAAUAUUUUGAGAGCUAUAAGUUGGUAGAAGGGAAUAGUUUAACUCAUGGCAGCGUCUCCUUUUGGAAAUAUGACUUCGGUUUCGGUGAGGAUUCUUCUUGCGUUUCUUCUGUCUUUUGUCCUUAAACUUUGAAAAUGAUUUAAUUUCCAAUUCCACCCUUUUUCUUUUUUCCCUCAACUUUCAAAUGUUUUCUUAUUGUCGUUGAACCUUCUUUAUUCUUUUUUAAGCAAAAGGAGACACUCAGCUCUAUCUCAUCACACUAAUUCAAAACUUACAAAUGCGUUAAACAAUUCUAUUUACAUAUGUUUAAAUAAAUCCUGUAACUCAGUAUCAACUAAACUUUGUAACUCAACUUUUAUUUUAGUUUUUUUUUUUUACUUAUCUAUCUUUAGUUUCGUCUUUCCUUUGUCUUAUAACCUAAUAACUCGAGUUAUCGGGUUGGAAACAUAUUUAUAUGUACACAGGUAGCUCAAUUGAAGUAAAGAUGAAGGUACUUGUGGAUGAGCCCAACAAAACAAUCAUCUACGAAUGUCUUGAAGGAGAUUUGUUCAAAGAUUUUGACAUAUUCAAUGUGAAAAUUAAAGUGAAUGAUGGUGGAAACAAUGGCAACAGCUCAGUUAAUUGGUGUCUGGAAUAUGUGAAGGCAAAUGAAAAUGUGGAUCCACCAAAUAACUAUCUCCAAUUUGGACUUAAACUAUGCAAAAAUGUUGAUGCCUUCCUUGGCAACAAUUAAACUGAGGAAAAACUCAGAUAAUAUCAACACUUGGGAUUGGUUCUUGAAAUUAAUUCCUUUAAAUAAGAUCGGCUUUCUCUCCUAACCUCCAUUCUUCUAUGUGUAUUUCAAGGUUGUGUUAAUGGUAAUAUAUGAUGACAAAAAUCAACAAAUAUUUGGCAUGCUGCCUUUGUUAUCAUAUCCUAUGUAUCUUUUCUUUUACGAUAACUCAAUAUAUAUAUUUUCACAAAAAUGAAUUAUUUAUUCUAUAAAUUUUAAUUUAAUUAUUUUGAUAUUUGUUCUAUUUGUCAUACAUACUAAUUUGAUAGUGAUAGAUACAUAGAAGUCUAUUAGAGUUUUAUUAACAAUAAAUUAUGAAAUUUUGUUGCAUUUUGCAAAUACUUUUAACAAUUUUGUCAUUUGAACAAAUUUCUAAAAACUAAACAUGAAAAUGCAAAUAAUAGAGAAAUGUUUUAUAAGCAAUAAAAUAUCUAUUUACUAAUUUAAACUUAAAUUUCUUUUUCAUAAUUUUCCAACAAAAUGUUUAUUGAAAAAUUUACAUUUUAUCGAAAAUUUUCAUUGAGGUUUCGUAAAAUUAAGAAUGUUUUUAUCGAAAAUUUUCAUUGAGAUUUCGUAAAAUUAAGAAUGUUUUUAUUCAUCCAAAUGGAUAAUUUAAAUUUCUGUUGAUACACAAGGAAAUAAAUUAGUUUCAAAAUUUCAUGAUUUUCCCAACAAAAUGAAUAAAAUAAAAUCACAAUUUAGCUACUCUUGUGUAUGAAAAGGAAAAAUAAAUUUGACAUACUGUUUCCCAGGAGAGAAAAUUUUUAAAAAACACAAGAAUUUUUUAAAUAAUCUAUUUACACUGGUAAAAAAGAAAAUAUGCAAACAGUAAGUGAACUUAAAUACACCUUUACUUCAAAUUAUUGGAUAUAAAUUCUAUGUUUCAAAUUCAUCAACAUUGACAUUUGUUUGUGUAUGUAAAUUUCAAAAGCUGUUAGUCUUUAAUUGCUGUCGAGUUGCAAAAAGCUGGAAUUGUUGCCGUAGUGAAGAAAAGGACUUCUAACAGUAAUACUCAUUGCCUUUGUUUUGUAGUUUUCCUUUCUCUUCUUCUUUCUUAAAACCUAUGUUUCUCAACAUAUAUCAAAGUCUUCUUUGCUCUCAACAUAUUUCUUAGGGAAAUAUUAGUAUUGUUUUUAGUACGGGUACAUUAGUAAAUUCGUUACGACUCUUAAUUCAUAAAUUGAGUCAAAUUCUUUAAUUUGUUUUUGCUCAAUCGUUUAUGGGCCGACUCGACAUCCUUUUUCUCUCUCCGGUAUUCUUGUUUUAGUUUCUGUCUCUCUCUGUUUGAUUGUAGAUGCAAUGCGGGAGGAGAAAUUCUAGCGUUGGUAUUUUCCUUUCUUGUGUUCUUAAUUUCUUGAACCUAUGAAUUCAAUUCAUGAAGCUUUCUUCUGUUUCUGACUGCAUGUUUGUGUUCCACCAUCUCAUCUCUCUUCUCUUUUUCUUUUGGAUUCCAUUUUUCGCAAUUUGCUUAAACUGUUCAUCGUAAAAUGGUGCAGAGUUGAGUCGGAGAAUUCUUUAUGAAUGUGUAUUCAGUGCUGCUAAUAUUUUUGGAACACCCAUUUAUAAUAUAAGGAGAUGGAAACGUUCAUGCUCUUGUGGUGCUUUCAGUUUUAGUUAAGUAAUGUAGCAUUAAUUAUUGCAAAGCUAAAAUUGUGUUUGCCAAAUAUUUGUAAAGAGACACUUCAAUCCUUUUUGUUUUUUUUCUCUCCCCAACUGAGGGUGUUUCUCAUUCUAUGAAUCCUUCUUUCUUGGGGAAAUUAUUCUUUAAUAAUAGAUUACAGAGUUCUUAUUCGGAAUCAAUAACAAAUAUAAUGUGUCUUGGAACUGAAAUGUUGGGACAUUUCCCUUGAUUACUACUACAAAACUGACAAUACUUGAUGUCUGCGGUUUUGAUAUUCUUUACCGUUUUUAUUAAAACUGUCAGAUAGAAAAAAAAACGUUAAGAAUAACCAAUAAUAAAAAAUAUACAUAAUUUUUUAUUUUUUAUUUUAAAUACUUAUCGAUUAAAAAUGGAUCAAGAUUAAUUUUAAUUAUUUGACAUUUUUUAAAUGUAAAGUAAUAUGUUUCUUUUCAUUCUCUAAAAAACGUUUUCUUGUUUUUUUUUCUUUCAAAUUUCUCAUUUUUCUCCCAUUUGUAAAAAAAAACUUUUCCCUCUUUUUUUUCCCAAAAUUUCCUUUUAUCCCUCCAAAUUCUAUAAAAGCCCUAAUUUCCCCUACAUUUUCCACAUCUCUCACAUCCACCAUUUCUAUCUUCUUCACAAACUUCACCCAAAGCUCUACACUUCUUCCCCCUUUCUCUUUACCUCUUUUCAAUAACCCCUCCCAAAUAUGAGUUCCACAUUGUAAUAGGAAGAUCUUCAAUCAAGUAAACUCAAUUUCAAAUUUUGAAUAAUUUUUUUUAUUCUAUUUAUGGUUUGAGGAACUACUCUGCUAUUUUUCUAUGAUACUGUCACAAGUUUUAGAGAAAUGAUACUGUGACAAGUUUUAGAGAAAUUUAAAGAGAUUUAGAUGAUAAGAAAGCUUUCCCACUAUAAAAUUAAGGACUUCUUUGUACAUCAGUUUAUAGAGUGUAUUCCUUCAAAGACAGAAACUAAGGCCCAAAACAAUUACAUCCCUAUUUGGUAUUUAUUUUGUUUUCUAGUUUUUGUUAUUGAUAAAUUGAUUUUAUUCUCUCAAAUUUUUUAAACGGUUUGCACCUCUAUUUUUUUAGAUGUUAAACAAAGAACAUUUUCACAAGUCGGGGAACAUGUAACGACCCAACUUUUCUACCUAAGUCGAGAUCAUUAAUUUUUGACAAAAGACCUUGAUUGAUACAAAAUGAAAUAUAAGACAUUUGAAAAACAUACAAUCGAGGAAAAACAAAUUUAAGUCGGGCCCGAUUUCAAAUAUUCAAAACUUUAAGAGUACUCUUUACCAAAAUAAUAGUUCGUAAGCUCAGUUCCAUCACAAUGUUUUAAACAUCAAAAAGACCCACUACUGGUUCCAUUAGGAAAAAAAACUGGUUCCGUUAGGGAAAAAAACUGGUUCCGUUAGGGAAAAAAACUGGUUCCGUUAGGGAAAAACUGGUUCCGUUAGGGAAAAAAUUGGUUCGGUUAGGGAAAAAAUUGGUUCGGUUAGGGAAAAAAUUGGUUCAGUUAGGGAAAAAACUGGUUCCAUUAUGAAAAAAAAACUGUUAACUUCCUAUUACUUCCUAUUGGGGUACCCUGCACAGUCACAGUCUUGUGAUUCGGUAGGAUGCACGUAAUCAGUCUAACGCCCCGAAGGACGCAUAAUCAGUCUAGUGUUCUGCAGAAACACAUAUCAGUCUAGUGGACCCGAAGGAUGCACAUAUCAGUCUAUUGCACCCGAAGGAUUCACAUAUCAGUCUAGUGCAACCGAAGGAUGCACAAAAGGGUGGUGAUCCCGUAGGACAUCUGCAAGGUAACUACCCAAUAGGAAACUAAUAAUUUGCCCUUCAGUCCAUUCUAAACAUCUUAACAGUCAUUCGUAAUACAGUCUAGCUACUUUAACAUACGAUCCUGUCAUUUAACACCCUAAUAGUCAACAUAUCCCACUUUAGUCCAAUGUCAGUCAACAACAUAUCAAUACGUCAGUCAAUCAACUAUAUAGUGUCAUAACACCCCUCAAUUCGCUAGUAUAUAGCCAGGCUUUAGUAUAACCUACACCCAGUCUAAACGACAACCACAAGUUCACAUCCACGUCUCAUACAAACACAAUCUAAAAGUCUAGUCCUAUCUACAUCCACAUAUAUAUACAUAUUCCCAGAUAAUCACGACAUACAUUCAUCAUCAAGUCUCCGUCAAUCCAUGUACAUAUAUUUUCAGUCAUUUACAGUAUACAUUCAAUACCAAGUUUACAUCCACGCAUAUAUAUCAUUUUGACAACUCUACUCAAUCAGAGGUAACUAUACAGUCAGUUCAAAACUAUAGGUGAGCCCAGUAGUAGAGAAUCCCUAACCUCGAGUUAGGGAAGCUCCUUAAUCAACUAAGGUCCACGAAAAAAAUCCUAAGCAUAACCAUAAGAAAUUCAAUUAUUUUCAUAAACUUUCUCUGAUUUAGUUUCCUCAAUGAAACUCCUACACUUACUUGAGUAUUAGUGAAAUCGAACUUCAACCAAGAUCUAAAAUGUGUUGUGCGUCCAAAGGAUUUAAACGCUACCUUAUUGAACAACAAUUCAACAAUUACCCAACAAUAAUACUUGAAUUAAUAUGAAACAACUACCAACCCACAACUUAAAUCUUGUUUUUUGGAACACACGGCUGAAAGGCAGGGGUCGCGCGGCGGCUGGAAGGCAGAGGGUCACGUGGCGGCUGGACUUCACGAACGGAGACCAGCGCAGACGUAGCCGGACGAAGGUAUGGACGAACGGCAAGGUGAGAGCGGACGCGACGCCGGUGACACCAACCGACGACGACGACGACGUUCAGCUUCAAUGGAAGACCGAGACAAUCGGCGGUCGGCUGCAGAUCUGAAAGGAAAAGAAAAGGAAAAGGAAAAAGAAAGAUAGGGGAGGCUAUGGAGGCUAGGGUAUGAGGAUGAAGUAGGAGAAGAAGAGGAAAAAAAAAAGAAGGAAGAAGACGGGGAAGGGUCACGCGAGAGAGAGGAAGAGAGAGAAAUUUUAAUUUCUUUUUUUUAUAAAUUAAUAAUUAAUAGUAAUAAUAUUUAUAUUAUUAUUAUUAUUAUUACAUUUUCUUCCCUCACUUCUUUUCUUUUCCAAUAAUUAAAUUUUUCUUCCGAGCCUGAAGAAAUAAAAUAACACUCAACAAAAUUUAAAAUCGUAAAAAUAGAGCAAUCUGAUUGAAAUCAAUUACCUUAGAGUUCGGGAUGUUACAAAGCAUUCCAUAAAGGCGUUCACAACAAAGGUUUAAUGAUAUGAUGCUCAACAAACCUUUACACCUCUUUUUUUCACAAUAAAAAAAUAAAAUUCAUCACUAUGUCAUUUUAUUUCACUCAACCCAUCUUAAACUUGGAGUUAUUUAGUCCAAAGUUGUCUUAAUAUUAAUUUUUUGUUGAUUUUCUUAUGUUUAGGGAUCAAGUAGGGAAAGAGAAGGAAAAAGAUGAAAACGUUUGAAAGACAAUAGAAAAAGGUAUCGUGUUCGAAUCAUUGGUUUGUCAAUCUUAUUCUAUUUAACUAAUUGAAGAUUAUUUUGUUUAAAUGAAGUAAAUUAGCAAGGGUUAUAUAUCAACAAAAUUGGUAGAUGAAGUAAAAUGAGCACUGAUAAUGAAAUUGCUAGAAAAUUUCCAUUUAUAUGUCUAAUACAAGAUGUCAUACUACUUCUUUAUCAAUCUCAUUUUUUUUCUUCUCUGUCAUUAAAAGAAUUUUUCCUUUCUGUCUAAAAUGAAAUAUGUUUUCUUCCUUGCUUAGCAAUAUUAAUUCUAGGCAAGUUGAGAAUGCACAUUUUGAUCUUGAUUUUUGUUAUACUAUGAAAUAGUUUCUAUCCUGCUUCUUGGUUUCUUCAAUUUGAUCUUAGUAACUUUGUUUUUUAGGAACACGCGGCCAGAGUUCAUCGCAUGGUUGGUUGAAGUAAAAAAGGUAAAUUGACAUGGGUAAACUAUGACAUUAUCUUAUUAUUUUGUUGCAAGUACAAAGUGUGUGGAAUAGUUUUAUGCAAUACUUGAAUAUCCUUCAUUUUUAAUACAUUUCAUGAUUUCAUUAUGAUGGAGCCAACUUCACUGUUUCAUCACUUCAGUGUAUGGAACACGAACACCUCAAAGCCAUUGAAACUGUAUAAAUACUUGUUGAGAAAUCUACUAUAAAGUAUAUUUGGGAUUUGUUUUCUCAUAAUAAGGUUAGCUUACUUUCUGUGUGACUUUGUUUAUGGUUAGAUUAUGUUUUCUCCCUUCGUUUUGAGUAGAUUUUGCCACUGCAAAAAGAAAAAAUAAUAAGGUUAGCUUACCACGUUUUUUGUUUAUUACAUCUUUGUUUAUUUAUUUUUUGUAAUGUGUUAGUGUCUUUGCUUUGAGAGUAAAUGAUUAAAUUGCAAUAGCCAAUUGCAAUGAAUGUUAAAUUUGAGAGGAGUUCACCAAGGUCAUGAAAUAUUUUGUGUAUUACUGGUCUCUGUUUUUCUUUUCUUUUCUUUUAUCUCAUGAAUUGUUUUCGUAGUUCUAUGAUUAGAAAUUGUCAUGACUAAUUCCAAAAUAUUCUUGUGGAUUUGUGAUUUCUGUACCAAAUAGAUUCUGUACUCAUAAGGAUUUGGAAUCAAUUGUUCUCUCAAUAAACACAAAAACAUUGCUUCCUUGUUUACUUGUGCUGAUUGUUGCUCUUGAAUUUGUACUUCUCAAACUUUUUUUUUGAUACUCUACAGCUAAUGACUAGAUAUGUACAAAAACUAAGUUAUUUUUCAAAGAGAGAAUGAAAUUUUAAAAGAUGAUAAUUGUAAAUAGAUUUAAAAUAUAUGAUAAGUCAAUAAUAAUAAUAAUAAAAUAAUAGUUCAAAAACCAAGGUCAUGUAACUUUUAGAAACAACUCAUAAUUUUCAAUAUUUCAUAUUAAGGAAUGUAAACACCCAUAGUAUCAUUAAAUUGUAACACUUCCGCAUUUAUUUAUUUAUCUUUUAUUACUCACAUAUAUAUUAUCCAAUAAAUAACUUGUUUACACAACUUUUUUUUUUAAAAGAAACGACAAGUUUAACGUUGUGUUUGUAUUGAUUUUAUACUGUAAAGAUCCAACUUUUUUAACUAAGUCGAAGUCGUUAAAUUAACACAAAGACCCGGGUUUACCCGAAAUACCAAAUUUAAUUAAAUUUAAAGUCUCAAGAAAACAAAAUUUAUAUUUGGGCCCUAUUUAAAAUAACCAAAACUUUCAAUAAAAUAAAACUUAUAAAUUUCUAGUCUUUGAAUAGAGUUAAACCUCAAAUUUUCUAAACAGUCUCAAGUACGAAAAACAAAACAAAAGAUAAAUCAUCCAGCGAAAGCGAAUUUAAAAUAUCCCCUAUGGCGAUCACGCUUCCUUCCUCCCCUCGCCAAUUUGCCGCCUUUGUUACUUUUGUCUGAAAAAUUAAACAUAAAGGGUGGGUAUAAAAAUACUUAGUAAGAGACCCUCUACUGGUUCUGUUAGGGGAAAAUAAAUUGUUAACGUCCUAUUGGAAUACCAUGCACAGUCACAGACUUGUGAUUCCGUAGGAUACACGUAUCAGUCUAACGCCCGAGGGAUGUACAUUUCAGUUUAGUGUUCUGCAGAAACACAUAUCAGUCUAAUGCUCCCAAAGGAGGCAGAAUAAUUAGUGAUCCCGUGGGACACCUAUAAGGCACACCUCCCAAUAAAAGCUAACAAUUUUUCCCCUC
rnacentral:lncRNA from 1 species